rnacentral:rRNA from 1 species
CCUACGGGUGGCAGCAGUGAGGAAUAUUGGUCAAUGGGCGGAAGCCUGAACCAGCCAAGUAGCGUGCAGGAUGACGGCCCUACGGGUUGUAAGCUGCUUUUAUACGGGAAUAACGCGCCUUACGUGUAGGGCUUUUCAUGUACCGUAUGAAUAAGGACCGGCUAAUUCCGUGCCAGCAGCCGCGGUAAUACGGAAGGUCCGGGCGUUGUCCGGAUUUAUUGGGUUUAAGGGGAGCGUAGGCCGCAUGUCAAGCGUGCUAUGAAAUGUCCGGGCUCAACCCCGUCGUGCAGUUGAAACUGAUGUUCUUGAGUGGUCGAGAAGUAUGCGGAAUGCGUGGUGUAGCGGUGAAAUGCAUAGAUAUCACGCAGAACUCCGAUUGCGAAGGCAGCAUACCGGCGCCCAACUGACGCUGAAGCACGAAAGCGUGGGUAUCGAACAGGAUUAGAUACCCCUGUAGUC